CCUACGGGCGGCAGCAGUGGGGAAUAUUGGACAAUGGGGGGAACCCUGAUCCAGCCAUGCCGCGGGUGUGAAGAAGGCCCUCGGGUUGUAAAGCACUUUCAGUGAGGAAGAACGCCUGGUGGUUAAUACCCAUCAGGAAAGACAUUACUCACAGAAGAAGCACCGGCUAACUCCGUGCCAGCAGCCGCGGUAAUACGGAGGGUGCGAGCGUUAAUCGGAAUUACUGGGCGUAAAGCGCGCGUAGGUGGCUUGAUAAGCCGGUUGUGAAAGCCCCGGGCUCAACCUGGGAACGGCAUCCGGAACUGUCAAGCUAGAGUGCAGGAGAGGAAGGUAGAAUUCCCGGUGUAGCGGUGAAAUGCGUAGAGAUCGGGAGGAAUACCAGUGGCGAAGGCGGCCUUCUGGACUGACACUGACACUGAGGUGCGAAAGCGUGGGUAGCAAACAGGAUUAGAUACCCUAGUAGUC
rnacentral:rRNA from 1 species